rnacentral:rRNA from 2 species
UGGGGAAUCUUCCGCAAUGGACGAAAGUCUGACGGAGCAACGCCGCGUGAGUGAAGAAGGCCUUCGGGUUGUAAAGCUCUGUUAUUAGGGACGAACGUACUAUGUGUAAACAAUGCGUAGUAGUGACGGUACCUAAGGAGGAAGCCACGGCUAACUACGUGCCAGCAGCCGCGGUAAUACGUAGGUGGCGAGCGUUGUCCGGAAUUAUUGGGCGUAAAGAGCGUGUAGGUGGGAUAGUAAGUCCAUCUUAAAAGUGCGGGGCUCAACCCCGUAAGGGGGUGGAAACUGCUAUUCUUGAGUGCAGGAGAGGAAAGCGGAAUUCCCAGUGUAGCGGUGAAAUGCGUAGAUAUUGGGAGGAACACCAGUGGCGAAGGCGGCUUUCUGGACUGUGUCUGACACUGAGGCGCGAAAGCCAGGGGAGCGAACGGG